rnacentral:lncRNA from 12 species
CUCCCCAUUUUCCCCGUUUUUCCUGAUGAUCUCUCCCCCUUUUUCCCGUUUUUUCCUGUUUUUUCCUGUUUUUCCCCAUUUUUCCCGCUGAUCUCUCCCCGUUUUUCCCGUUUUUCCCUUUUUCCCCCAUUUUUCCCGUUUUUCCCACUGAUCUCUCCCCGUUUUUCCCGUUUUUCCCAUCUUUUCCCAUUUUUCCCGUUUUUCCCCCGUUUUUCCCACUGAUCUCUCCCCGUUUUUCCCACUGAUCUCUCCCUGUUUUUCCCGUUUUUUCCCGUUUUUCCCGUUUUUUCCCAUUUUUUCUGCUGAUCUCUCCCCGUUUCCCCGCAGGGACCAGCGGGAGGAGGAGCUGGGCGAGUACUACAUGAAGAAAUACGCCAAGUCCUCGGUGGGGGAGACGUGAG